UACGAAGGGGGCUAGCGUUGCUCGGAAUCACUGGGCGUAAAGCGCACGUAGGCGGACUCUUAAGUCGGUGGUGAAAUCCUGGAGCUCAACUCCAGAACUGCCUUCGAUACUGGGAGUCUCGAGUCCGGGAGAGGUGAGUGGAACUGCGAGUGUAGAGGUGAAAUGCGUAGAUAUCAAGAGGAACACCUGAGGCGAAGGCGGGUUGCUAGGCUGACACUGACGCUGAGGCGCGAAAGCCAGGGGAGCAAACGGG
rnacentral:rRNA from 1 species